CCUGCCUGUCCGAAAAUUCACUUUUCUUGUUGUUCAGGAUUUUUAUCGCUUCGCUCCUUUUCAACCCUGAUGGCCCAUCACCACCCCUCGCACCCUGAAUCCGCCGGGUCCGCUCCUUUGUCUGUGAUUUCAAUUUCCAUUGAAACUGAAUCUAAUCACAUGCUCACUGCCUGCUGAUCCUGGGCCGCCUGGCCAGUCCUGGAUUCCUGUCCUAGGGGGUUGAACGAGGAACAAGGACCACGAAUAGCCGUCCAUAGCCCGUGCAUCCUAGUAUUUCGCCUAUAUGCCCAUAUACAGCAUAGCUCAGAGGAUGCCGCAUCUGCAUGGCAUUCUCUACGUGAGCGAGUUUGUGCGUUUGCGAGUUGCCUGGAAAUUAUGGUAUCGCAUUGUUCAAAGCUGGAACAAUGCCAUAAAUGGCACAUGCCAAAUAUUUUCGUUGGCAAAGGCAUAAGCUAGAAAAAGGUAUGG
ensembl:ncRNA lncRNA:CR44411 long non-coding RNA:CR44411